rnacentral:misc_RNA from 1 species
GAUGAAGAACGCAGCAAAGUGCGAUAACUAGUGUGAAUUGCAUAUUCAGUGAAUCAUCGAGUCUUUGAACGCAUCUUGCACCUGCUGGUAUUCCAGCAGGUACGCCUGUUUCAGUAUCAGAAACAACUCUUCCCCUAAGAUUUUUUUGAAUCAUAGGGGGACAUUGAGGGUAUCUGGCUUAGAAGUAAAAUCUCUAGCCCGGAGACGCUUUAAAUGACUUAAGGCCUGCAAGCCAAAGUUUGAUUGCGCCUGAACUUUUUCUUAAUUUCAAGCGAAAGCUCUUGCGAACUAGAACUUUAUUAUUGCCUUGGGGGCCUCCCAAAGAAAACUUUCAACAACUUGAUCUGAAAUCAGGUGGGAUUACCCGCUGAACUUAAGCAUAUCAAUAAGCGGAGGA